rnacentral:misc_RNA from 1 species
GAUGAAGAACGCAGCGAAAUGCGAUAAGUAAUGUGAAUUGCAGAACUCAGUGAAUCAUCGAAUCUUUGAACGCACAUUGCGCCCCCUGGUAUUCCGGGGGGCAUGCCUGUCCGAGCGUCAUUGCUGCCCUCAAGCACGGCUUGUGUGUUGGGCCUCCGUCCUCCUCCCGGGGGACGGGCCCGAAAGGCAGCGGCGGCACCGCGUCCGGUCCUCGAGCGUAUGGGGCUACGUCACCCGCUCUUGUAGGCCCGGCCGGCGCUUGCCGACACAUCAAUCUUUUUUCCAGGUUGACCUCGGAUCAGGUAGGGAUACCCGCUGAACUUAAGCAUAUCAAUAAGCGGAGGA